AUUGGACGCUGGCGGCAUGCUUUACACAUGCAAGUCGAACGGCAGCGCGGGCUUUGGCCUGGCGGCGAGUGGCGAACGGGUGAGUAAUACAUCGGAACGUGCCCAGUAGUGGGGGAUAGCUCGGCGAAAGCCGGAUUAAUACCGCAUACGACCUGAGGGUGAAAGCGGGGGAUCUUCGGACCUCGCGCUAUUGGAGCGGCCGAUGGCAGAUUAGCUAGUUGGUGGGGUAAAGGCCUACCAAGGCGACGAUCUGUAGCUGGUCUGAGAGGACGACCAGCCACACUGGGACUGAGACACGGCCCAGACUCCUACGGGAGGCAGCAGUGGGGAAUUUUGGACAAUGGGCGAAAGCCUGAUCCAGCAAUGCCGCGUGUGUGAUGAAGGCCUUCGGGUUGUAAAGCACUUUUGGCGGGAACGAAAAGGACUGUGCCAAUACCACGGUUCGAUGACGGUACCCGCAGAAUAAGCACCGGCUAACUACGUG
rnacentral:rRNA from 1 species